CUUUGGAUGAGGAGCAGCACAGACACCCUUAAGAGAGGGGGGAGGAUGAGAUAGAGUCUCACUAUGUAGCCCUGGUUAGCUGGCCUGGAACUUGCAAUCAGAAAUGAAAAUUCUGAAAAAAAAAAAAAGAAAGAAAGAAAAGAAAUGAAAAUUCUGAACAUGCCCAACCUAAGACUGAUAUCUGAUAUACAACCCUUAUGAAAGAGUCCUUGGACUCCAAGAGAGUCAAGACCCACACGUUGAGAACUGCUGUGUAGAGAGAAGAACUGUACUUUCAGAGCCAUGCUUAAAAAACUGAUCAGGAGAUUCCUUCUACUAGAACCCACAUCCUAGCCACGAGAAAAGAAAGAUGAG
rnacentral:lncRNA from 1 species